rnacentral:rRNA from 1 species
AUGCAUGUCUCAGUGCAUGCCAAAUUAAGGUGAAACCGCGAAUGGCUCAUUAAAUCAGUUAUGGUUCCUUAGAUCGUACCCACAUUUACUUGGAUAACUGUGGUAAUUCUAGAGCUAAUACAUGCAAACCAGAGUUCCGACCAGAGAUGGAAGGAACGCUUUUAUUAGAUCAAAACCAAUCGGUGGCGGGCUUGCUCGUCCACCGUUUACUUUGGUGACUCUGAAUAACUUUGUGCUGAUCGCAUGGUCUCGUACCGGCGACGCAUCUUUCAAAUGUCUGCCUUAUCAACUGUCGAUGGUAGGUUCUGCGCCUACCAUGGUUGUAACGGGUAACGGGGAAUCAGGGUUCGAUUCCGGAGAGGGAGCCUGAGAAACGGCUACCACAUCCAAGGAAGGCAGCAGGCGCGCAAAUUACCCACUCCCGGCACGGGGAGGUAGUGACGAAAAAUAACGAUACGGGACUCAUCCGAGGCCCCGUAAUCGGAA